rnacentral:rRNA from 1 species
GACGAACGCUGGCGGCGUGCUUAACACAUGCAAGUCGAACGGAAAGGCCCUGCUUGCAGGGUACUCGAGUGGCGAACGGGUGAGUAACACGUGGGUGAUCUGCCCUGCACUUCGGGAUAAGCCUGGGAAACUGGGUCUAAUACCGGAUAGGAGCCAUUUUUAGUGUGAUGGUUGGAAAGUUUUUUCGGUGUAGGAUGAGCUCGCGGCCUAUCAGCUUGUUGGUGGGGUAAUGGCCUACCAAGGCGGCGACGGGUAGUCGGCCUGAGAGGGUGGACGGCCACAUUGGGACUGAGAUACGGCCCAGACUCCUACGGGAGGCAGCAGUGGGGAAUAUUGCACAAUGGGCGCAAGCCUGAUGCAGCGACGCCGCGUGGGGGAUGACGGCCUUCGGGUUGUAAACUCCUUUCGCUAGGGACGAAGCUUUUUGUGACGGUACCUAGAUAAGAAGCACCGGCUAACUACGUG